CCAUGAUUGCUUUGAUUGAAUCAUGGCAAAUUACUUAUUUAGUUCUAGCUGUUUAUUAAAUAAGCUUGGGUCUUUAAGGCUUGACCUUGGUGAAUGCAGUAAAAAAUAUUUAAAUAAGAUCUUAUGUGUAAAACACUUCAAUGUGCCUUUUUUAUAUUUUUUUCUUUUUUAAGCCAACUCUUACGUGUUGGCUGAAAGUUACCAAAAUAUGUGAAGGACUUAAUUCAGAAAUAAUGUUGCUAAACGAUUUACAGUCGAUAAUCAUUCGAAAGCAGAAAAACUCAGUGUCAAACAAAGAAUACGCGAAUUAUUUGAGAUAUGAUUGAAAUUUGCAAAGAAAGUAAAAAUCAAACUAGUUUCAUUCUAAGUUAUUGUAUAUAAUUUAAAUUUUGG